UGAGGUCGGCAACCAUCGUUCGCAACUC
rnacentral:sRNA from 1 species